UGGGGAUCCCCGGACGGCUGCGAGGAAUGAGCGGUUGGCUCGGGCUGGUUUCCUCCCUCCACCGCCUGCUUGUUUCGCCAUGCCCGGGCCGGACGGUGGGGCUGCAGCGGCGAAAGCGACUGAAGUCCGGGAGCAGUCGCAUGAGCUUCCCGGUCACCAGGAGGCCCCGGGAACAGACACCUCACCCUGACAUUGUGGCAGGAACUUCUGGAUUGCUUUCCAAAGUGGCUGCACUGUUUUCUAUCCCCACUGGGCAGGAAAACAUCUAAGAAAGGAGGCUCCCCCCUUCCCUUGCAGGGUUACCAGCAAUUAAAAAGAAGUACUAGAGAGGCAAAUAUCGGCAGUAUACAUCUAAGCGCUGGUCGGAAAAGAAGGAACUCAGCCCAAGAACUUGCCCAAUCUGAUACUGGAGGUGCCACUCAAGAACCACUCCCUCCAAGAUGUUUUCCUGGAUUUCCUCAGCCUAAAGUAAUCCCUCUUUUUCCUGGCUAUACCAUCUGGAACAGAUGACUUCCAAGGACACCGUAGCAAAGAAAAAGAGAACUGGAAGCCCAUGUGCCUUAAUCGCUUCAUCCUAGAGGUAACACAGAACUUCUGCAUACAUUUCAUUGGCAGGAACUAAUCACCUAACCCCAAUUUAACCACAAGGAAGACUGGGAUAUGUAGAGGCAUAGCUAGUAGAUUUCACGUCUAUUAACAGUCUCUGCUAUACCCCCUCAGUACCAACUGACCACUAACUUCCCACCCCACUCACCAGGAAUGUAUAGCUGCUGAUGAUUUUCGAAUUCGGUAAGAGACUGGAUUGUGAAUAUCAGACCACCUCUUCAGUCUAACAGACAGUGCUUGUUUUACCUAAGGUGAGGAGACAGCACAGGCAGUACUCACUUGUUUGUCAGUUACAGUCCUUUUCCUCUCCCUCUCUCAUUACUCACCAUGAAACACACAUUGUCCCUUCUACUUCUGUCCCAAGCGUCACACUCAUAAGAACAUAAGAAGUGCCCCCAGAUCAAACAAGAGUGCUUGAAUAGAAAGUGAGAUAUUUCUUCUUUAUAAGGUUGACCUUACAAGGCUGAGGCAGGCUAUGCCUAAUUAUGUAGGGACCCUAAUGUCUCAUGGUUGUGUCAGCAUAAAUUAAUUAAUGAUUAACCCUCUAACAAGGCUAAGUGAACAGAAUUCCCCAGUGUCCUGAGAGAAGGAAAGUUAAUGUGUUCUUUCUCCCAGGAGGAGGAUAACCAGUGGAGCCUUUUCUGGAUUUCUCACUAGAAGUAAAGACCAAAUUUCCAGAAGGAACCUGAGAGAUAAAAAGUGGUUGGCUGCUCCUGACCUGACUCAUAGUGUUUAACUGAACCAUACCACUAGUGUAUACUAGUGUGUGUGUAUGUACAUGCAUACACACAUGCACACACACAUUCACACACAAUCCUAUGGUAUUUGGUGACUUUGGAUGCCCAGCUCUUGCAACAAUUUCCUGCUGUCAUUCUUUUCCCUUUGAAUCUCAGGGGUGAGCAAACUAAAGAAAUACUAUCAUCUUACUGCUUUUAGUAUAUUCCAUAGAAAAGGAGUGGCUGGAGUCAGUGUAGAUCAACCCAAGCAGUACAAAUCUGCCAGAAUUGCAGCUCAGCUUCCUUACCUCCAGCAUGUGUACCUUUCUGAAGGGUAGGCCCUUAAGCCAGACAUAAGUAAGUUAUCCACUCUGUGCAUAACUGUCUGACUUGGCUUAGAAGCAUGAAAGGGGCAGAAAUGUAAGAUGGGUAAAGAAGGGCUUCAUCUGAAAUAGGGCCAUGAUGAUUAGCUCUCUCUUUCCUUCCUUUGGCUUCAUUGCUGUAUUCCAUGUGGGUCUUGAUAUCUUGAAACUGGAUGAGAUACCCAAAUAGUCAGUCCCUGAAUAUAAAUCAUUUCCUUGUACAGAAUCACUGCCAAACUCAGUAUGGUUAAAAGAUUUUUAACACCCAGCUGCAGCAUUCACUCUGGUUAGAAUUGGCCAUUUAAAUUUAUUUCACAUAUGUAAGUAUCAUAUCCUUUAUAAUGCAUUCUUAAUUGUUGCUCAGUUCUUCCAGAUUGAAUUCCUUUAAAAAAUUCCUUAUGUAAUCUUUUAAUUCUAGUUGGAAAACAUCACUUGACAGUUGCUGUUUAUACAGGCAUGCCUCGUUUUAUUGUGCCUGGCUUUAUUGUACUUUGCAGAUACUGUGUUUUUCACAAAUGGAAGGUUUGUGGCAACCCUGCGUUAAGCAAGUCUGUUGGCACCAUUUUCUCGACAGCAUGUGCUAACUUUGUCUCUGUCUCACAUUUUGGUAAUUCUCUCAAUGUUUCAAACUUUUUCAUUAUGAUUACAUCUGUUAUGUGGAGCUGUGAUCAGUGAUCUUUGAUGUUAACAUUGUAAUUGUUUUGGGGUGCCACAACUGUGCCCAGAUAAGACAGUGAACUUAAUUGGUAAAUGUUUUAUGUGUUCAGACUGUUCCACUGACUAGCCCUUCUUCAAACUCUCUCACUCUCCUUGGGCCUCCCUAUUCCCUGAAAUACAACAAUAUUGAUAUUAAGCCAAUUAAUAACCCUACAAUGAUUUCCAAGUGUUUAAGUGAAAGGAAAGACAUGUAUGUUUCACCUUAAAUCAAAAGCUAGAAAUGGCCAGGCGUGGAGGCUCACGCCUGUAAUCCCAGCACUUUGGGAGGCCAAGGCGGGCGGAUCACAAGGUCAGGAGAUCGAGACCAUCCUGGCUAACACGGUGAAACCCUGUCUCUACUAAAAAAUACAAAAAAUUAGCCGGGCGUAGUGGCAGGCGCCUGUAGUCCCAGCUACAUGGGAGGCUGAGGCAGGAGAAUGGCG
rnacentral:lncRNA from 1 species